UUAAAUUGAAGAGUUUGAUCAUGGCUCAGAUUGAACGCUGGCGGCAGGCCUAACACAUGCAAGUCGAACGGUAACAGGAAYCAGCUUGCUG
rnacentral:rRNA from 1 species